GGACGCGCCCCGCUGUGCGGCCCCCAGGCUAAGUGCCCCUCUCCCGCCGUCGCCCUAGGCGCGUUCGCCGCAGGAGCCCCGGGGCCGUGCACGACGCCACUCUGCCAGAGCGCAUAGGAAACUUGGACACAAGAAGACUGCCAUUUACAAGUGAAGGAAGAGCCUUGGAGGAAACCACCCCUGCUGACACCUCGCUCUCAGACUUCGGGGCUCCAGAACUGGAAGACAGUGGUUUUCUAUGUAAGCCAACCAGUCUGUGGCACUUUGUUAUGACAGACCUAGCAAACUAAUACAAAUGUCAAGGUUU